UGCUCUAAUCUGCUUGCUCCCGUGCGUGCUGCGGGGGGGUGGGCAGGGGAGGGAUGUGUAUCCAGCCAUUCUCCUCCUUACACCGCAGCCUGGCAGCUGGUUCUGAGCUAGACACGGGCCUGCAGAGCCCGACUGACUGAGCCAAGCUGCCUUAGCAGUAGCUGCUCCGUUCGCCCUGCUGGCUCCACUGCGUGCUCCCUGCCUGGUUCCUCAGGUGCAGGACUAGUCGCAGCCAGGAACGAGUGAGUGUUGGCCGUCCACCGUGCCAUCCCUGACCACGAAAUGCUGCUCCCUGCUGCGGGUGGGGGACUGACGGGGAACUCGGGGCAUGGCUUGUGCUCUUGCCAAGAGCUUGGCUUUCCCACAGCGUGCUCAGCAGUUGCGUGCGUUGCAGGCUGGCACUGGUGUACCUGAGGAGCGGUGAAGAGUAAGCGAGCUGGGAACAAGAUGUGGAAUGAAAGGCGGAGCCUGGCAGAAAGCUUAGGAGUGAUUUGAGAGAAUCCAGGCUGUCCCCGGUGCUCAUGACCUGAGGCGUGGCCACGGCCAGAGACAGAGGAUCAGGCACAGUCAGGGGCUGAGCAACACACCAGGUACGGGUGACAAACCCUGGGGCAGCCUGUGGGUCAGUGUCUGGAACAUUGCCCUGCCACAGCGCUGUAUCCAACAGAGUUACCAGGGGCGUUUGAUCCCAAGCGCGCCGAACACAACGAACUGCAGUUAGGCAGACAAAGAAGGAAAAAAGCUUGGUCAAGAGUCUCUUCUGCUCACAACCUCUGUGCUUGCGCAGUGCCUUGGAGCGCGUCUGCUGCCGCUCCUUCCCCACGGGCUGCUGGUCAUGCUGACCCCAGCCAGGGCAGGAGCUGGGACUGCUGCGGCACUGCAGGACCACGCAAAGGAAGGAAGCCCGGCGUGCUGUGUGGAACUGGGAGCCUGGGCAGGUUGGCGGUGUGGCCGUGCCGCCCAGCGUGGCUCAGUCAGCAACAGCCUGUGCAGGAUCUUUGGGGUGGAGAGUUGGGGCACAGAGAGCACUUUCUGUCCUGUUUGUCCCUCUGCCACAUAACCUGGCUGAAGAUUAAGUGGGCGGCCCUUUCACCUCACACCUUGGAAGAUGAGAACAAAUAACCAAUUCUAAAAGAAGAUGAGUUUGGAAGCAAUAGAUUGGACAGCAAUUAAAAUCUAAUGCACAGCUUAGAAGAGCAGUGAGGGCUAAGACAGACCAGCAGCUUCUUUGUCUUCUCAGAAAAUAACCUCUCUCUGAGCAGCUCACAUUAACUUCACUCGACAGAAAUAGGCCAUCCAAGUGACUGUGGCUGCACGAGCCUGCGUGUGGCACUGACUGUCACAGCCUCAAAAGACUGUGACAGUCUUUUGGGACACUGUGUGCCCAGGAGCUGGGCGCUAGGGAAGCUGAGCGGCAGCCCUCAGUGAGGCAGGAGAAGCCAGCAGGGUCGCUUCCCAUGGAAUUUACAAAGAAAACGUCACCUGACAAUUUCUUCCAAACAAUACACACAUGAAAUGAACCGACAACCCGUGUACAAAAUGAGGAGGCAAACACCAGCCAGCUCUUGUUCCUCCCUCAGCCCCGGUUCCACCAUGUACAAACCAAAGGGCAUUUCAGCACUCAGUGCAGAAAGUCAGCCCCAAACCUUGUGCUGCGUUACCUCACAAGCGCUCUGGGGCACACACAGGAGACCCCAACCACACCGUUCCCCUUUCCCAGAGCGCCUGGCAUGGUGCUGGGGUGGCACAUCCUUGGGGUCAGAUGGGUACAGAGCCUGUACCUGUCCUGGCUAUGGGCAGGAGCUGAGACCCCCAUGGUGUGGGCACCCUCCCACCCCCACAGGCCAGCACGCUCCCUCCCUUCAGAAGCCAAACACCCGAUGCUCCCGCUUUCCAGCAAGCUUUUUUUUUCCCCUUAAACUUGCAAUGCAGCUGCAUGCUGUCAAUCUGCCCCGUGAAGAGUGAAAAAAACCCCAUAAAAAAUAGAGCUUGACUCACCCUUUCUCAGCAGGCUUCGGGCUGGGAUGUACGUCCUCGGGCAGCACCUCAGGCUGGCCUCCUGUGCGCUGGGCCCAGCCCGGCUGCCCCUCGUUAGCCCUGAUUGCCACACAGGCCUUGGCGAUAAAAACAGGCAGGAGGGCCGGGCAGUGGGCCCUGCUCUCAUUUUUGGAGGUUUUUGGAGGUGAGGUUGCUCAGGCCUGGCUGUUUGGAACCCCUCACCGACGGGGCGCCCUCCCCUCAGCAGCCCCUAAGAUGGCGGCGGGGGUCCCUGAGGUAAAAGGGUUCCCGCCAAAAAAUGUGGCGGGAAGAGCCACGAGCGGCUUCUGCUCGGGGCCCCCUUUCUCUCCCAAAACUUCCCGUCACGGCUGCUCCUAUUCCAGUUUCAUCCUUUCGAAGCUGCUGGUUUGCGUGUGUGUGUGUAGAUAUAUUUUUUAAAAUUAUUAUUAUUAUUAUUUGGUCUGUUUAAUCACAGUUUUAUUUUACCUCAGUAAAAGCACAAGCACCUCAUGAGCGGUUUCCCCCAUACUCCAUCGCGCUUUUACCAGCUCUAACCCACCCCAGCUGAAUUAUGCCCUUGUUUUUUAUUUCUUUUGCAUUUCAGUUCUCCAAGUUCAUUUAAUGGCAAAAUGAAGAAUUUAACAAGUAUGGCUGGAUUAUCUCAUUUGAAGUCCCCCUGCUUCCCCCCUAGCAGAAGGCAAUGGCCUCAGGCUGCAAACCACAGAGCAAAAAGCUGCCUGGCUCACACGUACCCUGUUUCCUAUAUGGUGCAGGGGAAAAUAAGCCCUUUACCCUGAUCUUAAAGCAGGCAGAGCCACACUGACCCCCCUCUCAAGCUUCUCUGAGGGCGCUGAGCCUGGCUGGCUCCAUCUCCCCGACAUCUUGAAACGGGCAAGAAGAAAGCAGAUUUCUGCAAUGGGUUUUGGCACUGAUGCACACCAAGCCGCACAAAGGCUGGCCACAGACACACAUCCAGUUGCACAACACAAGGGCUGAUUGUUCAGCCUCACAGGGAUAGAAAAUCCCCCUCGCACAGCAGAGCUGCGGGACGCUUGGUUGGUGCGCAAAGGCACGAGCAGCACUCCUGUGGGAACACAGUCAAGCUGUAACGCUGCGCCACGGUCAGGACACCUCCCCUCUGAGGGGUGUAAAGGGAUAAACAGCUCUUAUGGAAACACUGCCUAGCAGGGUGAAUGAAUCUGGCAUGGAGAAGCCUGGCAUGGGGUCUCUAGGUGCGCCUCAGUUUGCUCACACUGAUUUAAAGCAGGGGCUCUUGGAUGAAAAGCUCUCUGUUCCCUGUUCUGCAAAGGACAGGAUUUAUGGGGAGUGAGUAGGGAGUGCUAUCCAGUCUGCUUUAUUUGCUUCUCUUAAUUACCAGCCUCAACAUUCACGACAGCAGCUGAGCUGUAAAGAUGAUGGAUAAACUGACACACAAACUGUUAUCAUGCUGUGGAUUUGACCAAUUUUAUAGCUAGCCUUCACAAAAGAUCUUAUGUGCAAACUUACAACCAACAGACCCCGGUUUGUAAACACUCUUUACUAGAUUUAGUCUUGAGGGAAGCAUCUGAUGGGAAUUCCUUGUGACCGUCGGUCGCCCGAGGGCUCUGAUGAAAAAAGGCCAGUUUUAAGUUGGAUGAGUAGAUUUUCCUGGCACUUCUAUCACAUGCAUGCUGCUAAAAGCACGUGAGGCCUCACUGAGAGCUGGCCUGCUUUGAGUGGAGAUAAUAAUUUCAGGGAUGCUGACCCAGGAAAAAGGCUGUUCCUAACUAAUGUGCAAGUGGAACAUAAUGGUAUUGGUUCUGCACAAGGAGGUUUUUCUUGGAACUGGCACCAUGUGUCAGAAGUGUAACUGCUUUGUCCUUACCAGGGUUUUCCUCAAGUCACCGAAGGGAGAUCCGUGCUUUCCCAGCUGAAGGUGGCUGUCACACGAUCCUUGAGCAGUCCAUGACUUACCUGCAGACAGCUCUGGAGAAGGUGCUUGACCCAGACCUGUCUCUGUCCAUGGCCUUUGAAGAGGACCAUCUGCCAAGUACGGGACUAAAGGAACUCGGGCAGGGCUGCAUGCCAGCUCCACGUGGGCCAGGUUAGAGUGAGGAAGAGGCUGCUGGAG